rnacentral:rRNA from 1 species
GGAUUGGGAGGGUUCUACGGAACCCGUUUGGUGAAUCUAGUGCCGAGAAAAGCCUUCUAUGUGUUGAAUUUCUAGUACCCGUACCCCAAACCGACACAGGUGGGUGGGUAGAGCAUACCUAGGGGCGCGUGAUAACUCUCUCUAAGGAACUCGGCAAAAUGGCCCUGUAACUUCGGGAUAAGGGGUGCCUGCGUGAGCAGGCCGCAGUGAAAUGGCUCUGGCGACUGUUUACCAAAAACGCAGGGCUCUGCUAAGUCGUAAGACGAUGUAUAGGGGCUGACUCCUGCCCAGUGCCGGAAGGUUAAGGAAGUUGGUUAGCGCAAGCGAAGCUGGCGACCGAAGCCCCGGUGAACGGCGGCCGUAACGAUAACGGUCCUAAGGUAGCGAAAUUCCUUGUCGGGUAAGUUCCGACCCGCACGAAAGGAGUAACGAUCAGAGCGCUGUCUCGGAGAGAGACACGGCGAAAUAGGAUUGUCCGUGAAGAUACGGACUACCUGCACCCGGACAGAAAGACCCUAUGAAGCUUUACUGUAACUUGGAAUUGUGUUCGGACUUUGUCUGCGCAGAAUAGGUGGGAGGCUAUGAAACGUUCCUCGCGGGGAACUGGAGCCAUCGUUGAGAUACCACUCUGGCAGAGUCUGGAUUCUAACCUACGGGGACAGUUCCAGGUGGGCAGUUUGACUGGGGCGGUCGCCUCCUAAAAUGUAACGGAGGCGCGCAAAGGUUCCCUCAGGCUGGUUGGAAAUCAGCCAUAGAGUGUAAAAGCAUAAGGGAGCUUGACUGUGAGACCUACAAGUCGAGCAGGGACGAAAGUCGGCUUUAGUGAUCCGACGGCACUGAGUGGAAGGGCCGUCGCUCAACGGAUAAAAGUUACUCUAGGAUAACAGGCUGAUCUCCCCCAAGAGUUCACAUCGACGGGGAGGUUUGGCACCUCGAUGUCGGCUCGUCGCAACCUGGGGCGGUAGUACGUCCCAAGGGUUGGGCUGUUCGCCCAUUAAAGCGGCACGUGAGCUGGGUUCAGAACGUCGUGAGACAGUUCGGUCCAUAUCCGGUGUAGGCGUAGGAGCAUUGAAAGGAUCUCUCCUUAGUACGAGAGGACCGGGAGGGACGUACCUCUGGUGUACCUGUUAUCGUGCCAACGGUAAACGCAGGGUAGCCAUGUACGGAGUGGAUAACCGCUGAAAGCAUCUAAGUGGGAAGCCCACCUUAAGAUGAGUGCUCCCUUGAGGCCACGGGAAGACGACCCGUUUGAUAGGCGCUAGGUGGAAGUGCAGUAAUGCAUGCAGCCGAGGCGUACUAAUAGGCCGAUGGCUUGUC